rnacentral:tRNA from 1 species
GCUCCUAUAGUGAUAAUGGCAGCACGUUUGACUUGUAAUCAAUUAGUCACAGUUCGAAUCUGUGUGGGAGCUUA